UUAAGCGACUAAGCGUACACGGUGGAUGCCCUGGCAGUCAGAGGCGAUGAAGGACGUGCUAAUCUGCGAUAAGCGUCGGUAAGGUGAUAUGAACCGUUAUAACCGGCGAUUUCCGAAUGGGGAAACCCAGUGUGUUUCGACACACUAUCAUUAACUGAAUCCAUAGGUUAAUGAGGCGAACCGGGGGAACUGAAACAUCUAAGUACCCCGAGGAAAAGAAAUCAACCGAGAUUCCCCCAGUAGCGGCGAGCGAACGGGGAGCAGCCCAGAGCCUGAAUCAGUAUGUGUGUUAGUGGAAGCGUCUGGAAAGGCGCGCGAUACAGGGUGACAGCCCCGUACACAAAAAUGCACAUGCUGUGAGCUCGAUGAGUAGGGCGGGACACGUGGUAUCCUGUCUGAAUAUGGGGGGACCAUCCUCCAAGGCUAAAUACUCCUGACUGACCGAUAGUGAACCAGUACCGUGAGGGAAAGGCGAAAAGAACCCCGGCGAGGGGAGUGAAAAAGAACCUGAAACCGUGUACGUACAAGCAGUGGGAGCACAGAGCAAUCUGUGUGACUGCGUACCUUUUGUAUAAUGGGUCAGCGACUUAUAUUCUGUAGCAAGGUUAACCGAAUAGGGGAGCCGAAGGGAAACCGAGUCUUAACUGGGCGUUAAGUUGCAGGGUAUAGACCCGAAACCCGGUGAUCUAGCCAUGGGCAGGUUGAAGGUUGGGUAACACUAACUGGAGGACCGAACCGACUAAUGUUGAAAAAUUAGCGGAUGACUUGUGGCUGGGGGUGAAAGGCCAAUCAAACCGGGAGAUAGCUGGUUCUCCCCGAAAGCUAUUUAGGUAGCGCCUCGUGAAUUCAUCUCCGGGGGUAGAGCACUGUUUCGGCAAGGGGGUCAUCCCGACUUACCAACCCGAUGCAAACUGCGAAUACCGGAGAAUGUUAUCACGGGAGACACACGGCGGGUGCUAACGUCCGUCGUGAAGAGGGAAACAACCCAGACCGCCAGCUAAGGUCCCAAAGUCAUGGUUAAGUGGGAAACGAUGUGGGAAGGCCCAGACAGCCAGGAUGUUGGCUUAGAAGCAGCCAUCAUUUAAAGAAAGCGUAAUAGCUCACUGGUCGAGUCGGCCUGCGCGGAAGAUGUAACGGGGCUAAACCAUGCACCGAAGCUGCGGCAGCGACGCUUAUGCGUUGUUGGGUAGGGGAGCGUUCUGUAAGCCUGUGAAGGUGUGCUGUGAGGUAUGCUGGAGGUAUCAGAAGUGCGAAUGCUGACAUAAGUAACGAUAAAGCGGGUGAAAAGCCCGCUCGCCGGAAGACCAAGGGUUCCUGUCCAACGUUAAUCGGGGCAGGGUGAGUCGACCCCUAAGGCGAGGCCGAAAGGCGUAGUCGAUGGGAAACAGGUUAAUAUUCCUGUACUUGGUGUUACUGCGAAGGGGGACGGAGAAGGCUAUGUUGGCGGCGACGGUUGUCCGGUUAAGCGUGUAGGCUGGUUUUCCAGGCAAAUCCGGAAAAUCAAGGCUGAGGCGUGAUGACGAGGCACUACGGUGCUGAAGCAACAAAUGCCCUGCUUCCAGGAAAAGCCUCUAAGCAUCAGGUAACAUCAAAUCGUACCCCAAACCGACACAGGUGGUCAGGUAGAGAAUACCAAGGCGCUUGAGAGAACUCGGGUGAAGGAACUAGGCAAAAAUGGUGCCGUAACUUCGGGAGAAGGCACGCUGAUAUGUAGGUGAAGCGACUUGCUCGUGGAGCUGAAAUCAGUCGAAGAUACCAGCUGGCUGCAACUGUUUAUUAAAAACACAGCACUGUGCAAACACGAAAGUGGACGUAUACGGUGUGACGCCUGCCCGGUGCCGGAAGGUUAAUUGAUGGGGUCAGCGCAAGCGAAGCUCUUGAUCGAAGCCCCGGUAAACGGCGGCCGUAACUAUAACGGUCCUAAGGUAGCGAAAUUCCUUGUCGGGUAAGUUCCGACCUGCACGAAUGGCGUAAUGAUGGCCAGGCUGUCUCACCCGAGACUCAGUGAAAUUGAACUCGCUGUGAAGAUGCAGUGUACCCGCGGCAAGACGGAAAGACCCCGUGAACCUUUACUAUAGCUUGACACUGAACAUUGAGCCUUGAUGUGUAGGAUAGGUGGGAGGCUUUGAAGUGUGGACGCCAGUCUGCAUGGAGCCGACCUUGAAAUACCACCCUUUAAUGUUUGAUGUUCUAACGUUGACCCGUAAUCCGGGUUGCGGACAGUGUCUGGUGGGUAGUUUGACUGGGGCGGUCUCCUCCUAAAGAGUAACGGAGGAGCACGAAGGUUGGCUAAUCCUGGUCGGACAUCAGGAGGUUAGUGCAAUGGCAUAAGCCAGCUUGACUGCGAGCGUGACGGCGCGAGCAGGUGCGAAAGCAGGUCAUAGUGAUCCGGUGGUUCUGAAUGGAAGGGCCAUCGCUCAACGGAUAAAAGGUACUCCGGGGAUAACAGGCUGAUACCGCCCAAGAGUUCAUAUCGACGGCGGUGUUUGGCACCUCGAUGUCGGCUCAUCACAUCCUGGGGCUGAAGUAGGUCCCAAGGGUAUGGCUGUUCGCCAUUUAAAGUGGUACGCGAGCUGGGUUUAGAACGUCGUGAGACAGUUCGGUCCCUAUCUGCCGUGGGCGCUGGAGAACUGAGGGGGGCUGCUCCUAGUACGAGAGGACCGGAGUGGACGCAUCACUGGUGUUCGGGUUGUCAUGCCAAUGGCACUGCCCGGUAGCUAAAUGCGGAAGAGAUAAGUGCUGAAAGCAUCUAAGCACGAAACUUGCCCCGAGAUGAGUUCUCCCUGACUCCUUGAGAGUCCUGAAGGAACGUUGAAGACGACGACGUUGAUAGGCCGGGUGUGUAAGCGCAGCGAUGCGUUGAGCUAACCGGUACUAAUGAACCGUGAGGCUUAACCUU
rnacentral:rRNA from 1 species